CUAAUGUUAAGAAUCAACUUACUCUGAAAGAAGUGUUUGGACAUAGUUGCAUUUCCCCUGUCUCAGAUCACCAUCAAUUUGUCUCAUUGAGGAAAGACACCACAUCUAUAUCUUUUCCAAUUACUUUGUAAUAUGUGGUGAAAUGAGGGCAAUAUUUGGUCCUGCGUAAAAUCAUGAAAGAUGGAAAUACCAGAUAGCUUAAAAUUGACACUACAGUCCUCUGUUUUGAUACGUGAAAGUCUCCCAUCAUUUCCAUCCCUUCAGGAGGACACCCAAAGACACAUUGGAUGUCCAGAUCUCUGCGCUUCUAAGUUGUGCCUUCUCCUUUUCUCCAUCAUACUGAAUUGAGAGUUAUUAUUCUAGAA
rnacentral:lncRNA from 1 species